AAUUGAAGAGUUUGAUCAUGGCUCAGAUUGAACGCUGGCGGCAGGCCUAACACAUGCAAGUCGAACGGUAACAGGAAGCAGCUUGCUGCUUUGCUGACGAGUGGCGGACGGGUGAGUAAUGUCUGGGAAACUGCCUGAUGGAGGGGGAUAACUACUGGAAACGGUAGCUAAUACCGCAUAACGUCGCAAGACCAAAGAGGGGGACCUUCGGGCCUCUUGCCAUCGGAUGUGCCCAGAUGGGAUUAGCUAGUAGGUGGGGUAAAGGCUCACCUAGGCGACGAUCCCUAGCUGGUCUGAGAGGAUGACCAGCCACACUGGAACUGAGACACGGUCCAGACUCCUACGGGAGGCAGCAGUGGGGAAUAUUGCACAAUGGGCGCAAGCCUGAUGCAGCCAUGCCGCGUGUAUGAAGAAGGCCUUCGGGUUGUAAAGUACUUUCAGCGGGGAGGAAGGGAGUAAAGUUAAUACCUUUGCUCAUUGACGUUACCCGCAGAAGAAGCACCGGCUAACUCCGUGCCAGCAGCCGCGGUAAUACGGAGGGUGCAAGCGUUAAUCGGAAUUACUGGGCGUAAAGCGCACGCAGGCGGUUUGUUAAGUCAGAUGUGAAAUCCCCGGGCUCAACCUGGGAACUGCAUCUGAUACUGGCAAGCUUGAGUCUCGUAGAGGGGGGUAGAAUUCCAGGUGUAGCGGUGAAAUGCGUAGAGAUCUGGAGGAAUACCGGUGGCGAAGGCGGCCCCCUGGACGAAGACUGACGCUCAGGUGCGAAAGCGUGGGGAGCAAACAGGAUUAGAUACCCUGGUAGUCCACGCCGUAAACGAUGUCGACUUGGAGGUUGUGCCCUUGAGGCGUGGCUUCCGGAGCUAACGCGUUAAGUCGACCGCCUGGGGAGUACGGCCGCAAGGUUAAAACUCAAAUGAAUUGACGGGGGCCCGCACAAGCGGUGGAGCAUGUGGUUUAAUUCGAUGCAACGCGAAGAACCUUACCUGGUCUUGACAUCCACGGAAGUUUUCAGAGAUGAGAAUGUGCCUUCGGGAACCGUGAGACAGGUGCUGCAUGGCUGUCGUCAGCUCGUGUUGUGAAAUGUUGGGUUAAGUCCCGCAACGAGCGCAACCCUUAUCCUUUGUUGCCAGCGGUCCGGCCGGGAACUCAAAGGAGACUGCCAGUGAUAAACUGGAGGAAGGUGGGGAUGACGUCAAGUCAUCAUGGCCCUUACGACCAGGGCUACACACGUGCUACAAUGGCGCAUACAAAGAGAAGCGACCUCGCGAGAGCAAGCGGACCUCAUAAAGUGCGUCGUAGUCCGGAUUGGAGUCUGCAACUCGACUCCAUGAAGUCGGAAUCGCUAGUAAUCGUGGAUCAGAAUGCCACGGUGAAUACGUUCCCGGGCCUUGUACACACCGCCCGUCACACCAUGGGAGUGGGUUGCAAAAGAAGUAGGUAGCUUAACCUUCGGGAGGGCGCUUACCACUUUGUGAUUCAUGACUGGGGUGAAGUCGUAACAAGGUAACCGUAGGGGAACCUGCGGUUGGAUCACCUCCUUA
rnacentral:rRNA from 1 species